rnacentral:rRNA from 1 species
UACGUAGGGGGCGAGCGUUGUCCGGAUUCAUUGGGCGUAAAGCGCGCGUAGGCGGCGUCGCAAGUUGGCCGUGAAAUCUCCCAGCUCAACUGGGAGGGGUCGGGCAAGACUGCGGUGCUGGAGGCGGGUAGAGGGCAGUGGAAUUCCGGGUGUAGUGGUGGAAUGCGUAGAGAUCCGGAGGAACACCAGUGGCGAAGGCGGCUGCCUGGGCCUGGCCUGACGCUGAGGCGCGAAAGCGUGGGGAGCGAUCCGG